CAAAAUGAUACUCAGGUUGGGUUGGGUUUGGUCAUGUGAACACAAAGACACUACACGUACAGAACCUUUGUGAAACUAUGUCAUAGUCCUGCCUCUGUAACCUCAGCCACUCAUAAUUAAUGGCAUGUUAUUGUUGUUAAAAUUAUAUUAAAAUAUCACUGUUAAC